AUUGAACGCUGGCGGCAUGCUUUACACAUGCAAGUCGAACGGCAGCGCGGGCUUCGGCCUGGCGGCGAGUGGCGAACGGGUGAGUAAUACAUCGGAACGUGCCCAGUAGUGGGGGAUAGCUCGGCGAAAGCCGGAUUAAUACCGCAUACGACCUGAGGGUGAAAGCGGGGGAUCUUCGGACCUCGCGCUAUUUGAGCGGCCGAUGGCAGAUUAGCUAGUUGGUGGGGUUAACGCCUACCAAGGCGACGAUCUGUAGCUGGUCUGAGAGGACGACCAGCCACACGGGGACUGAGACACGGCCCAGACUCCUACGGGAGGCAGCAGUCGGGAAUUUUGGACAAUGGUCGAAAGCCUGAUCCAGCAAUGCCGCGUGUGUGAUGAAGGCCUUCGGGUUGUAAAGCACUUUUGGCGGGAACGAAAAGGACUGUGCCAAUACCACGGUUCGAUGACGGUACCCGCAGAAUAAGCACCGGCUAACUACGUG
rnacentral:rRNA from 1 species